GAAGCCUGUGUCAGGACUGCAUCAUUCAAACUGUAGAUGGGGAUUCACAUGAUUCAGUGUUCCAAAUGAAAACAAUUUCCUAGACAUAGGGAACAAGUGGGCCACAAGAGAAGUCUAGCCUGGAUGCCUUCUCCCUGACAUCUAGCAUCUUGGUGUAUAUAAAUAUAUAGCCAAGCAGUUACGUGAGGUUUUAGCUCUGUAACUGAAUGCUUUACUUCCUUAGGACUAGAUCUAUAUAAGAACUGGAGUUGGGAAACAGGUACAUUUAUUUGGCUGGACGAAUGAUGUUUUGCACCAUGGGAGCGACAGAAGCAUUCUAUUGCAGAACUGUACAGAAAUUGUUCUCCUGUUAUUCCAGUCCUAUUCCAUGGAUAGUUGGCAGAGCUAAACCAAUUCUGUGACGUUUCAUGGAAAAAAAAUGUUUAAAUACAAGGGCAGGACCAUGCCAUCUAUCUCAUUUCUGGCUUUCAGUUUCCCAUUCUGAUUUUUCUAUGCAGUGGUAGGAGGCAAGCACUUUAGAGUGGAUUGCAGCAUAGCAAUCAUUUUGUUCCUUUGCUUCCAUUCAGAGGACCUCAUGCCCAGUCAUUUGGGCUGCUCUGCAUGUUCAACAGGAUGUAACAUAAAAAUUACUAGUCUCAUGGUGUUGGGAAAGAAGAACAGUGGAAUAAGGCACAAGAGAUUUCUCUGCAUGUCUAAAUGUCUGUUAAGAAUCUACUUCUGUGUAGAUUCUAGGUGAUGUCCCAUUGCUUCUAGAGAUAUUGCCUCAUUAAUGAAUAAAGAAACUCCAGGAUGUCCUAACUGAAAGUCCCCCUUCCUGUUUUGGAUGCUUAAUUACAGAUUAUUAUGAAAUGAAAUUUUGUCCUUGCAUUUGUGCUUUUGCUCCUUGGAAAGAUACAGCGACUUACUAAUAAGUAAUAAGUUCUUGCUUCAUUUUAACCAUGCCUGUUGGACUUUGGAAGGUUACUUGUUACAAACACAUCCAUGCAACCUUUUAACAUGCACUGCCUCUGUGCAGACAUCUGACUGACAUGUAGAUGAAUGACUGGAGGAAAACUCUUUUCCUGUCCAAGCCAAGAGGAUUGCCUGUGUAAUGCUGUCCUCCCAGAAAGGCCUGCGAGACUGGAAAAGCAUAUCCAUGUAAUUAUUUGUUUUUACUUAAAAGAUUUGUAUCUCGCCUUUUGACAAAAGUUUCUAAGACAGUUAAAAAUUCAACUAUUGAUAUUAAAAAUAAUAAAGCACUUAAAAUAAUAACAGUGACUAAACUGGCAUUAAAAGCAGAGAAAAAAAGCAAAGAAAGAUCAGGGUGCCAGCACUUUAAAAAACCUGCUUCCUGUUGUUCCCAUUUCACCUGUAAAGGCACCCUGGGUAUGGCCUUCUAUGAUGCACUGUAGGGAUUUUCUAGUGAGGAGGCAGCACUGUGAAUGGUAUGUUUUGAACACUUAAAUAUAUGGAAAGAGAAGGCUUUACCUUUGCUGGGGGCUGGCAAUAUUUGGAAUAUCAUCUAGAGGGGGUUAGAGUAGUAUUUCACACAAGAAAGCUGGCUCCUGGGCAGGUCAAAUUGUUUGAUGUGCUUAUCGAUGUUGUAUUUGGUAGCAUGGCCCAUGUCUUUCCUAUCUCUAACCCCUGCUAACUUGGCAAAGAGGCACCUUUUAACGUGGUGAUUCUCUUUAUUUAGCAGGGGGAGAGUAACUGGCCCUAUCCACCCCCAGCACAGUACCUCCAGUGACUGUUGCUGGUGUCUAUCUUAUGUUUCUUUUUAGAUUGUGAGCCCUUUGGGGACAGGGAGCCAUCUUAUUUAUUUAUUAUUUCUCUGUGUAAACUGCCCUGAGCCAUUUUUGGAAGGGCAGUAUAGAAAUCGAAUGAAUGAAUGAAUGAAUGAAUCUCCCUUCCCACCAUUUUUGUGCAAAUCCAUUUAUUAGUCACAUUGGUGGAGUUAGGCUCCUAGUCUAUUAUAUUUAUUCUUGCUUCUGAAGCCAUAGUGAAAAAGCCCUCACUCCUUUCUGUGUGACACCCACUCGUCAUGUAUUUGUAUCAUGUCCCCAUCCACUUUUCCCUUUUCCAGAGUAAACAUACCCAAUUCCUUCAACCUUUUCCCAUAGGAUUUGUUGUGAACAAAGUGGGCUAAACUUUAUCUCUGUGUCUCCACACACAUACACGCCCACCACAGGAAGAAGUUUUGGAUUAAACUUGGAUGUUUCUGGAUCUGUCUGCUCAAAUCUUGGACUAUAAUCUGCUUCAUAACUAUAUAAUUGCAGCAGCAUAUUCUCUCUGGUACAGAUACAAAUUAGGCUGAAUUUCUUCAGUGGAUGUAUGUUUUAUAAAGAUGUAGCCUGGCGCUAGUAUUGGGCAUUCCUGAAAUGGAAUUGAAAUUUCUGAAAAUACAGUGCUAUUGUUGUUGCCUCCUUCACAGAGCACAAUAAAAGAUCUUUGUUAGCGUCCCAUUCUCUUCAUUGUAGUGCUGUAUAACCAGAUUUGUCUAAUGUGCUUUGAUUUGUUUGGGGAUAAUAAAAUGUGGUGGAAAGUAGUAUGACUGUAGAAUGUAGAAGCCCCCCUCCCCUUAAUUAAUGUACCAUGAAAGUUAUAAUGUAAUAAUUGAUGAAAUUCAUUAUUCUUUUUUUCUGUUUUGGCUCAUUCUGUAAUUAAAUCACUGUUUUAGUUCA